ACUACAGCGCCCGUCCGAGCUGCCUUUGUUCUGCCGAGCUGCCUGCCCGCGCUCUCGUGAAAAGUCUGGUACUGGAGCUUCGAAUCGUAGUGUAUGGAAGACUGUUGAAGGUUGUGCUUUUGUGGAGCUCGAGUUCAUCGGAAGUUCUACAGUGCUUGCGCCAGAAAAACGUCGGUGCCUCGGUACCUUUGAGACGAAGGAGCGUUGGCCAAGUCUUUUUGAAAGGCUAUGCGGAUUCUGGAGGCAUCCCUACAUCAAGCAGGAACCUGCUGCACUGCUGGAAGCUGGACAGCACGACAAUAAAGCACGUGAUCUGUGUGCUUUCUCAAAGGUAGACAUCGGCGACGGUGUAUAUGUUGAAAAGUGCCUGCUGAAGAGGCUGCGCCUGGAUGCAAACAACUCAGGCUUUCAGUUCGCGGGGGGCCUCCUUAAGGCUCCUUUUACAAAAGAAGAGGUUGAAGGGAGGCGCUACACAUGGAUGCGCAGCGAUUGUUUGUGACAUCGUCACUGCUGGCAGGCCUGGCCUGCCUUUUCGCUUCGUUCUGGGUCUUCCACGUUAUCUACUCGAAAAGGCCCACAGGGUUUUGACAUUUAUUGAGCACUGCUUUCUGGAUUUGAGCUACACAAAGCUGCAGGUGAAAGCAUUGGAUUUAGUCAAUAUUUACAAGAACUAUUGCUAGGCAAAAAAAUUUUCAGAUGCAUAUCCUCAAGAAAGUUUCUGUAAAAAAUUAUUUUCCCUAACAAAAGCACUCGUGGGUUCUGUGGCUGGCAGGUUGCCCAAGCCAUGUAGCACAGUGCUUGCUUUAAAGGGACACGAAAGGGAAAACUUAUUUGAGCUUUAUUAAAUCAUUUUUCUACAACACCGAAAAAACAACUCCCUCCAUGAGAAUUGGCUUGAUAAGCCAGAUAACUUGCAAAAACGAAAACUGGUGUCGCCACCACCACCUUAUAAUUCCUGCACCAGCUCGCUGUGAUAUGGAAUUUGACUGUGUCUGUUCGGGUCUAGCUAAUGUUCUACUGGCCAAUAUUGAUGAAUUCUGUUGUAAAGGUGUCAAAGAAUAUACUUAGUUGAAGUAUGACUCCACACUGAUGUGCGGGCACUGCAUAAAACUUGAAAGUUAAAUCUUCAUUUUCUCAUCUAUUAAUCCGCUUAUUGCCACAAUGUUCAUGAAUACAGUUCUGAAAGAUUGUUUUAUCAGUCUAAAAUGAUUUAUUGUUUCUCUUUAGUAUCUCUGUAAUGGACCUUUAGCAACAAAAUGUGUGUUAGUAUGCCACAGAUAUUCUCAGCGGGGGCAAGAGCACCAGCAGCAUGCUCAGUGAUUCUGUACCAACUGAUAAUUUGAAGGAUGUCCUGUGCCACUAGGGUUAGGCCAACGUGGCUCUGUGUUAAUCACCAUAAGUGUAUUAUGCAAAACUUAAUGGCCCAGAAAUUGGUAAUUCAGGGGGGAGUUGAAUUAGCUGUUUAUUUUUUUUCUUUAUCAUGGACUUCUCACAUUACACUUUGUCACAACGCAUUCACUUUAAAGUAACUGUGGAGAAUAAGGUGGUUUGGUAUUCAGACAUGCCUUCUGUGUGUAAACAGUGUUAGAUGAUCAAUACAAAGAUACACCAUAGAUGCUGACU